AUGUGAUCUGGGUAACCUGCCAGGACAGCAGAGGUCAGAGUUCGGACGAGCGUCAUACAGCGGGUGGCGGGCUAACCUGUGCGGUAGAGCUGCAGCGCUGGCACCGUCUGCAUCGAUCGAAGCUGUGAUCGCAGCGUCCCCACAUUGAGGGUGCCGGCGGCGUUCAUCUUGGCGCUGACACACUGCAGGAAUACGGGUCGGGCACGCCGGAUCACGUUGAUGAGGGCGUCCUGAGGUGGGCGGAGACAAGCGGAGUAUGCAAACCUGACUGAAGAUGUGGCGGCAGUGGCGGUGAUAUUUACAGCCUGCAGUUUGAUGGCGAUGCACGGCGAGUGCCUGCGCACGGCGGCCGCCCCCCCACUGAGCGUCUUCCUGAUGGUCGCGCUCCUCUGCAGUGAGCGCUGACUGGCGCCAUCGAGCCCGCUCAGGCCACGGCACAGCGGCGGCACGGCGACGGUGGGCGUGAACAUCGCCUUCACCGACGCUCUGAGUACGACACGCCACAUCACCUCCUGACCACGCCCCUCCCCACAACAUGUCACCUCAUGGAACAGGCUGCACUCACACGGACGAGUUCUGGAGAAGCCCAACGGCGUUGAGAGCAGACGGGUUGUUCUGGACCAGCGAGAACCAUCCCGUGAGGUCGUAGCGGACCGGGUCGCAGCCCGCCAGGUGUCCCACUUCGCACUGCAGCGGCUGCUCGCACUGACGUACUGAAGGAAGGUCACAUGAUCAUCAUCAUCAUCGCCACAGUCAUCAUCAAUGGUGGCUGUGCUACCCGUCUGAUUGAAGUACUGGCACACGCGCUGUAGGGCGGUGCCCUCAGUAGACGCUGGCGUUGUCAUCUCCUCGUCCAAGACCCACAGAAGCCCCCGGGGGGCGCCCUCUGCUGCCCGCACCUUCAACAUGCAACACGUUUGUUACAACAACUUGCCCUGCCCUUUUACAUGUCACAGUGUCACAUCACCGCUUAGCAUGUUAGCGUGUUAGCGUACCUGUGGAGGCGACUGGUCCAUGGCGGACACGACGUCAGCGGGGCUGAUCUCCGGACACUCAAAUGCCACUGGAACCUUCUCCUGGACACAAACACCCGCAAAGUCAUGGCACGGCAACACGGGAGCCAAUCAGGACGUGAAGGUAGUAUGCAGCAAGGCUAACGGUCAGUGCUCACCGCUCAUGUUGGGUCCGGCAGUCCCCGCCUGCCUGAGCAGAGCGAGGGUGAAGGCGUGACACGCAGUGGUCUUUCCUGUUCCGCUGCGGCCCAUAGUGCACACGCAGUGGUCCCGCCUGUUUCCGACCACGGACACGUAGACCUGUUUGACCAUGGCAGCCAGAGCCGGAGGAGCCUCCCACGUGGACUCCCCCCGCCGCGACUUUGGAGUCUGACGGCAAAAGAAAAGUGACGGUAAACCUCCCGACCACAAGGUGGCGCCGUGCCAACAAAUGCCUUGAUGUUCUUCAGGAGCGAUGGCGUCACCUUGCUGUGUGUCUGCAAUGGCGGCCACAAGUUGACCAGGUUGGGUCCGGCGUGCGUUAGCGGCAUGCUAGCUUUAGCACGGCUGAUUAGCGUGUGCAGCACCCCGCUUUCGUUGACGCUCUGCAGGUCGCUGAGGUCGUCGCACAGGUCCAGUGACAUCUAGCAGCGAGUCGUCUGCGUGGAGGCGGAGUCUCACUCGGCCUAGCGGGAGUUCCGGCGUUCCUUCGUCUGGUUUGAGCUGAGUGGCUGCAAGGCGACGACCCAUCAGACAACAGUUUGCAUCAAAGCUCAAGAACAUUCUGGUCUUACCAAGCGUGAAGCCGUCCUGGUGCACGUACCAAACGGCGCCGGCCUCAUACCACACGUCCUUCACCUGAGUGGAGGACGAGAGUCCGGUUGGUGUUGCGCUUCAUCCCGAACAACCCGCUUCGGACACGUACCUCCGUCAUGGCGAGGUCCGCUAGUCUUCCUUCAGGUUCCUGACGCUCCUCCCUCACUUCCUGCUUGACCUCCCUCACAUCCUCGGGAACCUCCUUUCUUGGUUCCGCCUCCUCGCUCAUGUUCAUCGGCGGCUCAGGCGUGACGUCUUGUUGGCCUUCUGUUUUUGCCGGGGCGGUCCUGUGCCCUGAAGGUGGGCGUGGUGACUGGCGGGGGGUGUGGCCACUGUUGAGCAUGUGCUCGGCUCGUAGCGACAUCUCGGCCUCCAGGAUGGGUGGAGUCUGAUCCGGAAGAAGGAACUGCUGCACAAGGUCGUCGCUCAGCUUGCUGGGCUGCUGGGAAAAUCAACAUGAGCUAACAUGCUAGCUCAUGGACGCAAGCUAAGCUAGCUAGCCGACAACACGCACGGCCUUCUCCUCCUUGAGCUCUGGCUCCUUCUGUUUGGUCUCCUUCUCUGAAUCUCGAACCAGCUGCUUGAGGAACCCGCCGGGAAGGGCGGAGAGUGGCGCCGGGGGCGGGACGGUGGCGACCACUGGGUGAUUCUCCUCCUUAAUCUGCGGUUACAUGACAAUGAGGGUGUGGCGUUAGCAUGCUAAUGUCAGUGGAAGUUACAUAGACACGGAUAGACGCAGCAUGGAGUGGGUUUGUACCCUGCUGCAAUACGAGAACGUCGGCCAUAUUGGAUGUGUCAAGGCUACUCUGUUAAUGAAUACAAGUGAAUGUACUUACUUCCAUGAAGCACUGACACACGCCACUCAUAUACGAGGGAAACAAACACACAAUCACAUGGUUUGGAGUCGACUGUAUUCAUUCACAGCGUAGCCGCCACCCAUCCAAGAUGGCGGUGACGUUGACGUACGGCUCAGCGUCUAUCUCCUGUAUGUACGACGUCUGUGAGGGCGCUACUUCAAGAUUAGCAUUAGCAUUAGCAUUAGCAUCGUGCACGUGUAUCAUGUGACGACGACACCUGCCUUCUGCUCCCACAGUUUUAAGCGUGACGA